rnacentral:rRNA from 1 species
AUGUCGAGCUCCACUUCAGCCUCCCGCCCCUCGUGGACCCAGUAUGGUCCACUUCCCAUGGAGCGAUGUCAUGACUGCCCACGCAGCAAGCCACUGAUACGGUUGACUUCAAAGGAGGUCAGGAAUGGCAACUAUGGGCGCGAGUUCGUGAAAUGCGAGAGCAAGCCAGAGGGGCAGAUCGUGAAGAAAUGCACACAUUUUGAAUGGAUGGAUGACUAUGUUAAGCGGAUUCAAUUCAAUGGGGCCCCAACCCGGGAGCUCAAUCUGUCGUCAGCACCAACGAAUUAG